rnacentral:rRNA from 1 species
UGGGGAAUAUUGGACAAUGGGCGAAAGCCUGAUCCAGCCAUGCCGCGUGUGUGAAGAAGGUCUUCGGAUUGUAAAGCACUUUAAGUUGGGAGGAAGGGCAGUUACCUAAUACGUGAUUGUUUUGACGUUACCGACAGAAUAAGCACCGGCUAACUCUGUGCCAGCAGCCGCGGUAAUACAGAGGGUGCAAGCGUUAAUCGGAAUUACUGGGCGUAAAGCGCGCGUAGGUGGUUAGUUAAGUUGGAUGUGAAAUCCCCGGGCUCAACCUGGGAACUGCAUUCAAAACUGACUGACUAGAGUAUGGUAGAGGGUGGUGGAAUUUCCUGUGUAGCGGUGAAAUGCGUAGAUAUAGGAAGGAACACCAGUGGCGAAGGCGACCACCUGGACUGAUACUGACACUGAGGU